CCACGCCAAUGCUUGUUGAUGCUGCAGAGCUCCCCCAGCGCCGCCACCACUGCCUCUGACAUGGACAAGAGCAGCAGCUCCAACAGCUCCUCUGCCUCUUUGGGCUGCAGCAAAGGGCCCCCAUCGACCCGCUCUGCCUUGGUGGGGUCUGCCGGCAAUUCUAAACCCAAGAGCAAUGGAAAGAACUUGAGUGAAUCUGUGAGUUAUAAUCGCAAACAUGAACCUUCCUACCCCCAAAAUGAAAGUUUUAGCAACAGUCACAUUGCUCCAGUUCACAGAAAAGCAAAACUUUUAACAAGAUGCCUCUUCGAAGGGGCAGGGGCAGUGGCAGCAGCAAACUCUUUAGCUCUUCUUUUAAUGGUGGAAGACGAGAUGAAGUAGCAGAGGCUCAGCAGGUAGAGUUUAGCCCUGCCCAGUUGUCUGGUCCUAAGAAGAUCAAUCUGAACCACUUGUUGAAUUUCACUUUUGAACCCCGUGGCCAGGCGGGUCAUUUUGAAGACAGUGGACAUGGCAGCUGGGGGAAAAGGAACAAGUGGGGACACAAGCCUUUUGACAAGGAACUCUUUACAGGCCAACUGCCAAUUUGUGGUGUCUGAAGACCAAGACUGCACAGCUCAUUUUGCUGAUCCUGAUACAUUAGUCAACUGGGACUUUGUGGAACAAGUGUGCAUUUGUAGCCAUGAAGUACCAUCUUGCCCAAUAUGCCUCUAUCCACCUACUGCAGCCAAGAUAACCCGUUUUGGACACAUCUGUUGGGCGUGCAUCCUACACUAUCUUUCACUGAGUGAGAAGACCUGGAGUAAAUGUCCCAUCUGUUAUAGUUCUGUGCAUAAGAAGGAUCUCAAGAGUGUGGUUGCCACAGAGUCAUGUCAGUAUGUUGUUGGUGAUACCAUUACGAUGCAGCUGAUGAAGAGGGAGAAAGGAGUGUUAGUGGCCUUGCCCAAAUCCAAAUGGAUGAAUAUAGAUCAUCCUAUUCAUUUGGGAGAUGAGCAGCACAGCCAGUACUCCAAGUUGCUGCUGCCCUCUAAGGAGCAUGUUCUGCUCCGGGUAGUUCUGGAAGAGAAAGUAGCCCUACAGCAGCAACUGGCAGAAGAGAAGCAUACUCCCGAGUCCUGCUUUAUUGAGGCAGCUAUCCAAGAGCUCAAGACUUGGGAAGAGGCUCUGUCAGGAAUGACUGAAAGCAGAGGGGAGGUCACUGGUGUCAUAGGUACUCUGGAACAACUGAUGCUGGUGGCUCCCUUGGUGAAGGAGUCUGUUUUUCAACCAGGAAGGGUGUGCAAGAGUAUCUGUCUGCUUUUGAUGAAGGAACCACGGAAGUUUGUUCUGUAGAUUCUCCUUGUCCUCUUGCCCUCCCUCUGGUGGAAGAAGAGGAAGCAGUAUUUGAACCAGAGCCUGAAGGAUUGUCAGAGGCCUAUGAUGACUCGGAGUUAGCAGUUGACAAUCUUGGGAGGGGAACAUUUGUAUUGAGUCCAGCCAGUAGGAACCCAUCACCAAGCCAGGUUUCACACACCAGAGCAGCUCUUCUUGUUACUACCUUUACCAAGCGGAGGAUGGGCAGCACAUGUUCCUGCACUCUGUGAAUGUGUGCUGCCUUGUGCGGGAGUAUGGCAGCCUGGAGCAGAGCCCUGAGAAGAUCUCAGCAACUGUGGUGGAGAUCACCGGGUACUCUAUGUCUGAGGAUGUUCGACAGCGUCAUAGAUAUCUCUCUCACUUGCCACUCUCCUGUGAGUUCAGCAUCUGUGAACUGGCUCUGCAGCCUCCUGUGGUCUCUAAGGGAAUCCUAGAGAUAUUCUCAGAUGACACUGAGAAAAGGAAGUGCCAGCGCCAAAAGGAGGCUCGGGAGGAACCCUGCCGAGAGCACAGGAUUGAGAUGGAGGAGAACAAGAAGCAGGGCAAGUACCCAGAAGUCCACAUUCCCCUAGAGAAUCUAUAGCAGUUUCCUGCCUUCAAUUCCUAUACCUGCUCCUCUGGUUCUGCUUUGGGUCCUACCAGCACCGAGGGUGAUGGAGCCUUCUCCCUUUCUCCUCUUAGCAGAAGUCCACGUUUCCAUGCAUACUUUCUGCUGACCCCUCUGUCACCCACUGCCGUUCAGGGCAGUCCCUCAUUCUGCGUUGGGAGUCUGGAAGAAGACUCUCCCUUCCCUUCUUUUGCCCAGAUGCUGAGGGUUGGAAAAGCAAAAGCAGAUGUGUGGCCCUAAACUGCUCCAAAGAAAGAUGAGAACAGCUUAGUUCCUCCUGCCCCUGUGGACAGCAAUGGGAGAGUGAUAACUCAGACCGUGUUCCUGUGCCCAGUUUCCAAAAUUCCUUCAGCCAAGCUAUUGAAGCAGCCUUCUUGAAACUGGAUAAACCAGCUACUUCAUAUUCCCUCUCUGAAGAGAAAGGAGGAAAGAAAAGAAAAAAAAAAACAGAAACAGAAGCUCCUGUUCAGCACCUCAGUUGUCCAUACCAAGUGA